UUCCGGUUUCCGGGACUCCUCUGAGGGUGUCUGACGAUACAUUUGCUUUCCGUGCGGUUGUAGCCUUGGGAUCCAAGAAUCUCGUAGCCGGAAAUAAAGGGAAGAAAGUACCAAUGUUGUUCUCCCAGGCAACAAGAGACAGGAGAGAGGACGUAGUCUUAAGCUGCACCAGGGAACGUUUAGGUUGGGCAUUGGGGGGGAUUUCUUCAUAGAAAGAGUGGUUAGACAUUGGAAUGGGCUGCAAGUCACCAUCCCUGGAGGUGUUUAAGGAAAGGCUGGACGUGGCAGUCAGAGCCAUGGUCUAGUUGACACGGAUAUAUUCCAUCAUAGGUUGGACUUGAUGAUCUCAGAGGCAUUUUCCACCCUAACUGAUUCUAUGAAUAUGCCUGUAACAAAUGCUGUGCGAUGAAGGGAUGGCGAAAAACCAAAACCAAACAACGACAAAAACCCAAACAAAAACAAACAAACAAACAAAACCAGAACAACCAAACCCAACAAACCAACAAAAACCCAUUAAAAACUUGUUCAGGCUGUGACUACCCAGGAGUCAGAAGUCUAUUGGUUUGUAGGAGUGCUGAAGCCACUGCAAACUACAGGAGUUCAUCACCUUUGAAAACAAUCCUGGGCUUUUCUUUUCUUUUUUUUUUUUUUUUUGUGUGUAGAGAAGUGUGCAGCUCUUAAACAAGGUAGGAAAGCUUUGUACAUUUCAGUGCCACAAAGUAGUGUAGAACACUUCCUUACAUGAGGGGGGAAAAGAGGCUGUCACUGCCUAAAGUGAGCCCUUCCUUGCCGUUUUUGAAAGGAAAACUUCAUCUUGUAUCAGGGCAAGUCCCUCAGUAUUACUGAUCUCCUUCAGAGAUGAACGCUCUACUUGGCUUUGGAGGGUUAUUGGCUUGAGGUCCUCUACAAGUUUUCUCCAAAAGUCUGCCUUUGGAUUGGAUUUUGCUUUGAAUGAGAUUUCAUGCAACACUAUUCCUCAGAUGGGACCAUAAUUUUGGUGGCCAAAUUCUGCUGGAACUUUUCCAUUGGCACACCAGCACUGAAAGAUUACAGUCAGUUAGGCUUCCCACAGCAAAUAUUUGUAUAAUUUGUCUCUUGCUCUCGAGGCCAGUUUGCAGUCUGCAAGGAUGGGCAGUCACCGCUCAGGGAGAGGAAGAUCCCUAAGGAAAGCAGCUGAGGGCCUGGUAAUCAUAGUGCACAGUGUGCAGUGGGGCAGAGUAGGUUGCUGAUCCUCUGCAUGAGAAUCAGGUUGGGUGGAGGAAGAUUUUGGUGGGUUUUGUCUUGUUUGUUUUUUCCCUUCAGUGUCAUAGAUAAAUACCUGAGGCUUUUAUCUCUAUGAUCAGACUAAACUCACAAUUCCAGCUGUGCUGCAUGAUGAGCCUUACUGUGAACCAUCCCCAGAGUGGAAUAGUUACCACAGCACUAGAUUCCUGCUGAUUGGGAAAAAAAAAUUUACCUGAAACAAGAAGAAAUACGUGUGAAACACUUCAUGACACAGACUUCUGGUUGGUUUAGAUUUUGAUUUUUAAAAGCAUUUGCUGAAAUAAAGCUUUCUCCCCCUCCCCUGAAGUUUCUAUUUGAAGUUGUUUUUCCUGAGGAGAAAUGUUAUGGAGAAUCAUAGUGCAUCUUGAUUGACUUAACAAUGUGGCUUUGUCAUGAAUUUGUACAAUGGGUUUGCUACGGUGGGGUAGAGAAGGUAUCAGUUGUCCUGCCUCAGCUGUCUUUCACUCUAGCACAAACUCUUCCUGCCAAGCUGUGAGUUUGGACCUCAGCAGUUUAGGGAAGAGGCAUAGUCCUGGUUUGUGCACAGAUAAUGUUUGCUGGUCAUCCUUGAACUAUUUUCCAACUUUCAUCGUCUUUUUAGUGUCUUUGAACUAAUACUUGUUACUUAGACUUGGUCUUCAGGGCAACUAUGUUACCCUUCUAUAUAUAUUUACAAAGAGACGUGCAUUUAUCAAAGAUAUGAAAAGGUUUACUUCUCCCAGACAUGUGUAUUUUCCUUUCACUGCAAGCUAGACUGUUACUAGGGUGUUUUGUUUCCACUUCUUUAUGGUUCUUGCAAGGUUGAGGAAGAAAGUGGUGUGCUUGCACAGGUAAAUUUUCAUGGCAGUUUUGCAAGUCUGCAUUUACAGCAAUAUCUAAGCAGUACAUAACCAAAGACAUUGUAAUACUGUAUAAUAAUGGGCUAAUGCUUAUUUGCUUCUGAAUAUUGCAUAAACUGGAGCCACACCAGGGGGCUUUUCAUCCUAUGUGUGCUCCAAGGAUGAAAGAGUUGGUUUUAUGAUAGUUUUAUUUUGCAUAUUUACACGUUUUGCUUUGUAAUUUGUUUGUCCUUUGAAGGGCAUGAAAGAUAAAUAUCUGCUUUUAACUAUGGGAACAUUAGACUGUGAUAUGAUAUCCAUCCCCCUGUAUCUGGACACUUACACAUGAACAGUGAGAUCAGCUUCUCCCGUUCCUUGCUACCUGCCUGCCUGCAGGACAUGGUGGGGUGGCAGGAGCCAGAGAGCUGACAGCAGCUGCAGCAAGCAUAGUUUGGGGAUCAGAUGGAGAAGAGAGGAGAAAAGACACAGUCCUCAGUAUGAGAAGAAGCUCAGCCUCUGCAUAUUAGGCAUACAUGCAAUCCCCAAGGGGUGUGGGUAGAACAGAGAAAUAGCUCUGUCUGAAUGGGUCUCCAAGCUUCCCUGUUUUCCUGUAGGUAGAAACCCCAUUUUCCCUACCCUGAAUAUGCUCCAGCCCCAGCCAAAGAGAAAGAGCAAAGCGUCUGCUCCUGCUCAGGCUGCAUGAGGCUAGUACUGCCUGGCCUCAGCACUCCUCCAUGGCAGGGACAGUGCUCUUAUCUCUGCAAGCCAGAGCAGAGAGAUCAGGAAGUCUAGUUUUUUUGUUUUAAGGAUUACUCCCCAUAUCUUAGAAAAAAGUACUUGUAGUGGUCCUGACAGGUUUCCUGUGCCUGCACAAAAAGUGAUAGAUUUUGGAUAUGAGGUCUUACUGAGCUAUCUCCUUUACAUCCCAACCCAUCCCAUGAUGGACAGCAGGAACUGAGCUGCUCCCCUGCAGGAAGAGCCAGAGAGGUAAGUGGGUGGGCAGGAGACACAGCCAGUUCUGUGCCCAGGAUCUCUAAAUGCCUGCCUUGUGGUAGGCCAUGAGGCAUUUGAACUGCAGAAGGCAAGGCAAAAGACCUGCUUCUUCCACAGUGGAGUUUUUGGGAGGGAUGGACUGUUUUGAGCAAGAGUAGCCUUUAGGGACAGAAUCCGACUUACCUUCACAAAUUGGAGAGGGAAAUGGUUAUCCUGAGAGACAGCAAAAGCAAAGAAAAAGACUAAGAAAACUAGGAAGGUGGCCACUUGUGGACUUUCAUAUGCGAGGAAGAUAGGCCACUGCAGAGAGUGGGCAUCUGUGUGCUCUCUGGGUGAGAAAACAGGUAGCUGAGAACAAAGGCACAACAGCAGAGAUUUCCAGCCCAAACAAGGGAGCAAUGCAGAGAAGGAAGAGAGAGAGGAGAAAGCAAAGUAGUGAUGUGGGAAAGGUGUUAGGGGACCUCCUUGUUGAACAGUGCUGCAAGUAGAUGCCUUAUCAGAUUUUCAAAAGCAGCAGCAUAGUAGCCCUGUUCACUGAAGUUAUGCUAAUGCUCCAUUGCCUGACAAUCGGUGUUGUUGGAUGACUAAAUAACUAUAAAAUUCUGUCUUUAGAAAUUGCUAAGAUAUAUGGGACCUUUUAUUUCUUAAUUCUACAUUCUCAUAAAUGUGUUUGAUUAAUUUAUAACUUGAAAAAACAUUGGACUACCUAUAUUCUUUUGGCAUUUAAAAAUUAUUUUGAGUUCUUCAUUCUCCUGAAUGAUCCAGAGACUCUGUUUGGACUUGAUAAGCACAUCUGCAUGAUUUACGAUGAGAAGAAAGAUUAUUUCCUUCUUCAGUAGCUGUACAGAUGCAGGGUAAGAACAUAAAUGAGGAAUUAAUGUUAGGAAGGAAAUGGUAGCUCAGAUUUGGGGUUCAGAAGGAAAUGAUGAAGUGCCUGUGGUCCGUGUCUUUGGGUUAGCCUCAUUAAUUAUAGAAAUACCGCUACAUCAGGCUUUAAUGCCAUGGUUGUGAAAGUCGCUAGUCAGAAGCAGUCAACAAACUCUAUCCUUUGAUUUGUGCUGCUUAAUAUUCAGUGGAGAUGAAAUAUGGGGAUGAGAGAGAAGUGCUGUUAAAAUAGAUUUCUACCAGCGUUAGAUUUAUUGUAUAUAAUUUUAAAGAUGACCUUUUAUAAAAAGGCUGUGUUCAAUUUUAUUUGAAAGAGAGCACGUGGGAGAUUUGUGUCUGCGUAAUGAUAGAUGCGAAAUGAGAGAAACAAGGGCAGUAUACUAAAAUGGCAUCGCUAAAUGAUACUUCAGACUAAAAAAGGUCUGAAGAUAAGGUUUCUAGAUAGCAAAAGCUAUACAGGAAAGUUAAGAGAGGAAUAAGUGGUCCUCCAUCAGCUCUUCAGGUCAGAGAGAUAAAGAAAAAUGAAAUACUUACUAGUUUCUCUGAUGCAAUGCUUGUAAUGGUUUGUUUUGUUUUAGCACAACUGAUGGCUGUAGUUUCUUUCUUUGAGGUACACACCUUUUAAGUUCUUGGUUUGUUUUGGGGCAGUUUUUUGUGCCAGUUAAUAUAAUUCUCCCGUCAUUUCUGGGCAUAUGCAACAAAAGUAUGUAGAAAAACAACUUUGGUAAAUAAUGGGCCAGAAAAUGCUUCCCCUGGUAAAUAGCAGGUGAUGGUACAGGCCUUGUCCCUAACUUUGCAAUUUUCACCUGAAGACUUUUGUGUAUAAUAAACAAUUUGCUGACUCCUUCAUAAUAAAAGCUUUUUGUGAAAAUGCUAAUUACCACUUCAGAUAAAAAAAAAAAAAAGGCAAGUUAAAAUUGGAAAUAUUCUUAAAUUUAAGUUGAUUUUUUUUUUUCUCCAGAGCACAAAAUUUGAUUAAAAAUGAAGUGACAAUUUUCAUUUUGUAGCAGAAGAAUAUUUUAUGUCAGCACAAAUGUUUUUCAGGUGCUCUGUGUCUGUGUGUUCAGACAUUUAAAAAUGGCUUUCAAAAGUAUGCAAUGGAUACAUUAUACAUGAGAUUCAAUCAUACAGUGGAUACAGAAGUAACAGUGAAAAGUGCAAGCAAAGCAUCUGUACAAGUGUAUUGAAUGCAGCUCCUGUCUGCUUCAAGCCAAGGUGGCAGAGCAACCAACAUAUUUAGGAACGAUGAAAAAGCAGUUCAUCACUGCAUGGCUAUAGUGUCCUCGUCUUUGGAGGUUUUUUUGAAUUUAAUAUUUCACUCUUCUUGCAUAAAAAUAAACAUGUAAGAAGCUAACACUGUAAAAUAAUAGUAAUCCGUGUUAUAUAACUUAUGCUGACAAACAUCACCUGAGAGAUCUUUCUGGGCUAAGGAAGCUAUAAGUAAUCUCUUUACGUUUUUACCCAUGCCGGGCACAAGCACUGCAUACUCAUAACUGUUCAACCCUAACUCAUGAGCAUCUUUUCUGCAACCAUUCCUUUAGCCGACUAUGUCAUCCCUCAACCCUUAGCCUGAUUUGCACUGUAAAAUAAUAGCUUUAACUACCCUUAAUUAGCUUCUGAGAAGUCACGUGCUUAGGAAAAAACCCCUUUUUUAGGACACUCAAUCUGUAGGAGGGAGAUAAGGAGGUGUUACUCUGUUUCCCUACGGCAAUGAAGCCAGGGAACAUUCAGGUGUGGUAUGUAAUGUCGGUACGGGGGAGAAAGCAUGAAAUUUUGUGUGAGCUGAGGAGCCAGAGAAAAUGCAAGGUAAAGCAGAGAAGGACUGGUUACGUUGUCAAAGUACAGGAAAUCUUUUUGUUUGUUUGUUUUUUGUUUUAUGCUACUUCUUGCUGCACUUCUGUGUUAAGCCCGUUUGCCAAUUAAAUUGCAAAGCAAAGCAUCCUUUGUCUCAGGGGACAAUAGUGUGGUUUAUUUGUAUCAAACUGUCUCUCCGGGUAGUAAAUAACUAAAUAAAUUAAUAGCUCAGCUG